UACGUAGGGACCAAGCGUUGUUCGGAUUUACUGGGCGUAAAGGGCGCGUAGGCGGCAUGACAAGUCACUUGUGAAAUCUCUGGGCUUAACCCAGAACGGCCAAGUGAUACUGUCGCGCUAGAGUGCGGAAGGGGCAAUCGGAAUUCUCGGUGUAGCGGUGAAAUGCGUAGAUAUCAGGAGGAACACCGGUGGCGAAGGCGGGUCUCUGGGCCGAUACUGACGCUGGAGGAGCGAAAGCUAGGGGAGCAAACGGG
rnacentral:rRNA from 1 species